UAAAAGGAGCAACCAAAAAAGCUUGCAGAUACAGCAUAAGGGAUAUUAUGCUAGGGCUUAUACCAGCCAUUAGUUCUGAAUACUGGGGAGCUUUUGAGGUGCAAAAUGGCCGUGAUGAUUGGAAUCGCUUUCAGAGUUUCUUGGCUUUGUUGCCUGCUAAUUGGCGGGAUAACCUGUUCUACAUCAAGCUGGCAUUUUACUUUUUCUUUAUCUAACCUAGGUGAUGGGUAUCCUGCACCAGGUUCUGAUGCAGCAUGGCUCUAUACAGGCCCACUUAGGUCUAAAGGAUAUGGUAAUUACAACUCUCCAACAGCUCAAUUGCAAGCGCAGCUGACCGAAGAGCAACAGAAACAUCUGGCAGCCAUUCUGCAAAAGCAACUGGCCCCCAUGCCCCAGGCACCUCAGAAAAUGUGGUAUCCAACUCAAAUGCCCCAGAAGCAACCAGUUACUGAACUUCAGCAUCAGAAGGAACACGCCUCCAUACCCCAGCUACCUCAGCAAGUGUGGUAUCCAGUUCAAAUUCCUCAGCAGCAAAAGCAACCAGCUACUGGUCCUCAGCAGCAGACGGAACUGACCACCAUGCCCCAGAAGCAACCGGCUCCAAUGCCUAUACCGCAGAAACAACCAACAGCUAUGGGUCAGAAAGCAUGGUAUCCAGCUCAAAUGCAGCAGAAGCAACCGGCCACCGUGCACCAGCAACUGUGGCAUCCAGCUCAAUUGCCCCAGCAGCAAAAGCAACCGGCUACUGAACCUCGGCAGCAGAAGGAACCGGCCUCCAUAACCCAGCAACCUCAGCAAGUGUUGCAUCCAGCUCAAAUGCUGCUGAAGCAACUGACUGCCAUGCCCCAGCAAGUGUGGUAUCCAGCUAAGACCCAGAAGCAACUGGCCGCUGAUCCUCAGGAGCAGAUUGAACUGACCGCCAUGCCCCAGCAACCUCAGCAAGUGUGGUAUCCAGCUCAAAUGCCCCAGAAGCAACCAACCGCUGAACCUCAGUGGCAUCCAGCCAAAUUUCCCCAGGAGCAACCCGUCCAAAUGCGUCAACUGCAGAAGGAACUGACCGCCAUUCCACCACAACUGUGGCAAUCCGCUCAAAUUCCCCAGCAGCAUAAGCAACCGGCUGCCAAGCUUCAGCAAGUGUGGCAACUGGCCCCCAUUCCCCAGCAGCCUCAUGACGCGUGGUAUCCAGCUAAAAUGGUCCAGAAGCAACAAGCAGCUGCAACUCAGCAGCAGAAGGAACUGACCACCAUGCCCCAAGAGUGGCAUCCAGCUCAAUUUCCCCAGAAGCAACCAGCCCUAAUGCUUUUACCGCAGAAGGAACUGACCGCCAUACACCAGCAACCUCAGCAAGUGUGGUAUCCAGCUAAAAUGCCCCAGAACCAACCAACCACUGAACCCCAGCAGCAGAAGCAACCGACCGCCUUGGCCCAGCAAAUGUGGUCUCCAGCUCAAAAGCCCCAGCUGCAGAAGCAACCGGCUGCUGAACCUCAGCAGCAGAAAGAACCGGCCACCAUGCCCCAGCAAGCAUGGUAUCCAGCUCAAAAGCCCCAGCUGCAGAAGCAACCGGCCGCUGAACCUCAGCAGCAAAUUGAACCGACCGCCAUGCCCCAGCUACCUCAGCAAGUGUGGUAUCCAGCUCAAAUGCCCCAGAAGCAACCAACCGCUGAACCUCAGUGGCAUCCAGCCAAAUUUCGUCAACUGCAGAAGGAACUGACCGCCAUUCCACCACAACUGUGGCAAUCCGCUCAAAUUCCCCAGCAGCAUAAGCAACCGGCUGCCAAGCUUCAGCAAUUGUGGCAACUGGCCCCCAUUCCCCAGCAGCCUCAUGACGUGUGGUAUCCAGCUAAAAUGGUCCAGAAGCAACAAGCAGCUGCAACUCAGCAGCAGAAGGAACUGACCACCAUGCCUCAAGAGUGGUAUCCAGCUCAAUUUCCCCAGCAGCAGAAGCAGCCAGCCCUAAUGCUUUUACCGCAGAAGGAACUGACCGCCAUACACCAGCAACCUCAGCAAGUGUGGCAUCCAAUGCACAUUCCCCAGCAGCAACAGGAACUGGCCACCAUACCCCAGCAAGUGAGGUAUCCAGCUCAAAUGCCCCAGAAGCAUCUGGCCUCCAUGCCUCUACCACAGAAGCAACCGACCGCCAUGCCCCAGCAAGAGUGGCAUCCAGCUCAAAUGCCCCAGCAGCAGAAACAACUGGCCCCAAUGCCUCAACCACAGAAGCAACAGGCCACCAUGCCCCCGCAAGUAUGGCAUCCAGCUCAAAUGCCUCAGCAGCAAAAGCAACCAGCUACUGAACCUCAGCAGCAAAUUGAACCGACCGCCAUGCCCCAGCCACCUCAGCAAUUGUGGCAUCCAGAUCAAUUUCUCCAGGAGCAGAAGCAACCAUUCACUAUGCAUCUACCGCAGAACGAACUGACCGCCAAUCCACCACAACUGUGGCAAUCCGCUCAAGUGCCCCAGCAGCAUAAGCAACCGGCUGCCAUGCUUCAGCAAGUGUGGCAUCGGGCACAGAAGCAACCGGCCCCUAUGCCCCAGCAGCCUCACGACGUGUGGUAUCCAGCUAAAAUGGUCCAGAAGCAAGUCGCUGCGGUGACCGCCAUGCCGCAUACGCAUCAGCAAGUAUGGCAUCCAGCUGAAUUUCCCCAGCAGCAGAAGCAACCGGCCUCAACGCCUCUACCGCAGGAGCAACCGACCGCCGUACCCCAGCAAGUGUGGUAUCCAGCUCAAAUGUCCCAGCAGCGGAAGCAACACACUGCCAUGCCACAGCACCAACUGACCCCCAUGCCUCAGCAAUUAUGGCAUGUAGCUCAAAUGCCCCAGAAGCAACUGGCCCCAAUGUCUCAGCAGAAUCACUACGAAAGCACUGAUGAUGGUGCCUCUAGUAGCACUCAGGCCAGCAUCGUUGAACAGUCGGGUGUCAUCCCAAUCUAUUCCUACAGUUCCAAAUCGCACUACGGGAAUGGCAGGACUGUAUUCUCCCUAACCCGCUACACUCCUAGGGACGCUAUGCCUGUUGACAGUGGAAAUGCUCCCAAGGACAGUUUUGUUCGUACUGGUGCACCAAGCGUAUAUCCAUCACUAGUGAAGGAUUCUGCAAGGAAAAUGUAAUGGAUUCAUCCUCUAGAAGCUAAUGAGUUUCUUGGCUUUGUUGCCUGCUAAUUGGCGGGAUAACCUGUUCUACAUCAAGCUGGCAUUUUACUUUUUCUUUAUCUAACCUAGGUGAUGGGUAUCCUGCACCAGGUUCUGAUGCAGCAUGGCUCUAUACAGGCCCACUUAGGUCUAAAGGAUAUGGUAAUUACAACUCUCCAACAGCUCAAUUGCAAGCGCAGCUGACCGAAGAGCAACAGAAACAUCUGGCAGCCAUUCUGCAAAAGCAACUGGCCCCCAUGCCCCAGGCACCUCAGAAAAUGUGGUAUCCAACUCAAAUGCCCCAGAAGGAACCAGUUACUGAACUUCAGCAUCAGAAGGAACACGCCUCCAUACACCAGCUACCUCAGCAAGUGUGGUAUCCAGUUCAAAUUCCUCAGCAGCAAAAGCAACCAGCUACUGGUCCUCAGCAGCAGACGGAACUGACCACCAUGCCCCAGAAGCAACCGGCUCCAAUGCCUAUACAACCAACAGCUAUGCCCCAGAAAGCAUGGUAUCCAGCUCAAAUUCAGCAGAAGCAACCGGCCACCAUGCACCAGCAAGUGUGGCAUCCAGCUCAAUUGCCCCAGCAGCAAAAGCAACCGGCUACUGAACCUCGGCAGCAGAAGGAACCGGCCUCCAUAACCCAGCAACCUCAGCAAGUGUUGCAUCCAGCUCAAAUGCUGCUGAAGCAACUGACCGCCAUGCCCCAGCAAGUGUGGUAUCCAGCUAAGCCCCAGAAGCAACUGGCCGCUGAUCCUCAGGAGCAGAUUGAACUGAACGCCAUGCCCCAGCAACCUCAGCAAGUGUGGUAUCCAGCUCAAAUGCCCCAGAAGCAACCAACCGCUGAACCUCAGUGGCAUCCAGCCAAAUUUCGUCAACUGCAGAAGGAACUGACCGCCAUUCCACCACAACUGUGGCAAUCCGCUCAAAUUCCCCAGCCGCAUAAGCAACCGGCUGCCAAGCUUCAGCAAUUGUGGCAACUGGCCCCCAUUCCCCAGCAGCCUCAUGACGUGUGGUAUCCAGCUAAAAUGGUCCAGAAGCAACAAGCAGCUGCAACUCAGCAGCAGAAGGAACUGACCACCAUGCCUCAAGAGUGGUAUCCAGCUCAAUUUCCCCAGCAGCAGAAGCAGCCAGCCCUAAUGCUUUUACCGCAGAAGGAACUGACCGCCAUACACCAGCAACCUCAGCAAGUGUGGUAUCCAGCUAAAAUGCCCCAGAACCAACCAACCACUGAACCUCAGCAGCAAAUUGAACCGACCGCCAUGCCCCAGCUACCUCAGCAAGUGUGGCAUCCAAUGCACAUUCCCCAGCAGCAACAGGAACUGGCCACCAUACCCCAGCAAGUGAGGUAUCCAGCUCAAAUGCCCCAGAAGCAUCUGGCCUCCAUGCCUCUACCACAGAAGCAACCGACCGCCAUGCCCCAGCAAGAGUGGCAUCCAGCUCAAAUGCCCCAGCAGCAGAAACAACUGGCCCCAAUGCCUCAACCACAGAAGCAACAGGCCACCAUGCCCCCGCAAGUAUGGCAUCCAGCUCAAAUGCCUCAGCAGCAAAAGCAACCAGCUACUGAACCUCAGCAGCAAAUUGAACCGACCGCCAUGCCCCAGCCACCUCAGCAAUUGUGGCAUCCAGAUCAAUUUCUCCAGGAGCAGAAGCAACCAUUCACUAUGCAUCUACCGCAGAACGAACUGACCGCCAAUCCACCACAACUGUGGCAAUCCGUUUAAGUGCCCCAGCAGCAUAAGCAACCGGCUGCCAUGCUUCAGCAAGUGUGGCAUCGGGCACAGAAGCAACCGGCCCCUAUGCCCCAGCAGCCUCACGAUGUGUGGUAUCCAGCUAAAAUGGUCCAGAAGCAAGUCGCUGCGGUGACCGCCAUGCCGCAUACGCAUCAGCAAGUAUGGCAUCCAGCUGAAUUUCCCCAGCAGCAGAAGCAACCGGCCUCAAUGCCUCUACCGCAGGAGCAACCGACCGCCGUACCCCAGCAAGUGUGGUAUCCAGCUCAAAUGUCCCAGCAGCGGAAGCAACACACUGCCAUGCCACAGCACCAACUGACCCCCAUGCCUCAGCAAUUAUGGCAUGUAGCUCAAAUGCCCCAGAAGCAACUGGCCCCAAUGUCUCAGCAGAAUCACUACGAAAGCACUGAUGAUGGUGCCUCUAGUAGCACUCAGGCCAGCAUCGUUGAACAGUCGGGUGUCAUCCCAAUCUAUUCCUACAGUUCCAAAUCGCACUACGGGAAUGGCAGGACUGUAUUCUCCCUAACCCGCUACACUCCUAGGGACGCUAUGCCUGUUGACAGUGGAAAUGCUCCCAAGGACAGUUUUGUUCGUACUGGUGCACCAAGCGUAUAUCCAUCACUAGUGAAGGAUUCUGCAAGGAAAAUGUAAUGGAUUCAUCCUCUAGAAGCUAAUGGAAGUAUCUGGUGCUCUUGCUACUCUAGCGUGAGGGAGUACAUGAACAGUGCUACUUUCAAAAAUGUCUCUGUGAAAUAAUGGUUCUCAUGUCCAUUGCUUGCUAAUUGAGAACAGGUGGUGUGCAGUCUGUAGUAAAAAUGACUGCCCAGUUAAUUCUUUGGUUUUCUAGUCUUUUACCUUUGCUACUGGCUGUUCAAAAUAAAAGCUUGGGUCUACAUUUGUCAAG